rnacentral:misc_RNA from 1 species
AGCAGCCGCGGUAAUUCCAGCUCCAAUAGCGUAUAUUAAAGUUGUUGCAGUUAAAAAGCUCGUAGUUGAAUUUCGGGGUUAGUAGGUUGGUCAUGCCUCUGGUAUGUACUGGUCUCACUGAUUCCUCCUUCCUGAUGAGCCGUAAUGCCAUUAAUUUGGUGUUGUGGGGAAUCAGGACUGUUACUUUGAAAAAAAUUUAGAGUGUUUAAAGCAGGCUCACGCUUGAAUACAUUAGCAUGGAAUAAUGAAAUAGGACGUUUGAUUCUAUUUUGUUGGUUUCUAGGAUCGACGUAAUGAUUAAUAGGGAUAGUUGGGGGCAUUAGUAUUCAAUUGUCAGAGGUGAAAUUCUUGGAUUUAUUGAAGACUAACUACUGCGAAAGCAUUUGCCAAGGAUGUUUUCAUUAAUCAAGAACGAAAGUUAGGGGAUCGAAGACGAUCAGAUACCGUCGUAGUCUUAACCAUAAACUAUGCCGACUAGGGAUCGGAUGAUGUUAAUUUUUUAAUGACUCAUUCGGCGCCU